GUUGUAUGCUUCUCUCGAGGGUAAUACAGUCUGAUGUACGCCUCUUUGUAGUAGUGUCACCCGAGCCAGUAGGCCAGUAGGCGAGGGAUGACACCGCUACAAAGAGGCGUACAUCAGACCGUAUUACCCGAGGGUAAAAGCAUACAAAGUAUUUAUCUUACCGCCAUGUUAAAUGUACAACAUAUCAUUUUAGUUUACUUUUAAGAUCGAUGAGC